UGGGGAAUAUUGGACAAUGGGCGAAAGCCUGAUCCAGCCAUGCCGCGUGUGUGAAGAAGGUCUUCGGAUUGUAAAGCACUUUAAGUUGGGAGGAAGGGCAGUAAAUUAAUACUUUGCUGUUUUGACGUUACCGACAGAAUAAGCACCGGCUAACUCUGUGCCAGCAGCCGCGGUAAUACAGAGGGUGCAAGCGUUAAUCGGAAUUACUGGGCGUAAAGCGCGCGUAGGUGGUUCGUUAAGUUGGAUGUGAAAUCCCCGGGCUCAACCUGGGAACUGCAUUCAAAACUGACGAGCUAGAGUAUGGUAGAGGGUGGUGGAAUUUCCUGUGUAGCGGUGAAAUGCGUAGAUAUAGGAAGGAACACCAGUGGCGAAGGCGACCACCUGGACUGAUACUGACACUGAGGUGCGAAAGCGUGGGGGAGCAAAACAGGAUUAGA
rnacentral:rRNA from 1 species